CCCCUGUCCGAAAUGCAAACCUCUCUCGCCACCUUAUUCGGCGCUCGAUGUCGGUGAUCAAGCGAACACUAUCCGGCCGCGACCGCGUCGAUAGCUCCGGACGCCGGCUGUCUGACGCCAUGCGCGGAAGGGCCGAUUGGUUUGUCAUUGCCUCCUCUGGGCAGUAUUUUUACGAGACAGGUGACCCCAGCCAUUAUCAAUACGCUUCAGAGAUUGUCUACCUGACGUCAGUAGCCUCAUAACCAAGACUUAUGAUAUGUACCAGCUGCUCAUAUGACCAUCCACCAUACGAUCUCGCUGCCCAGCCCAAAGCUGUUCUCGACUUGUACAAAUCAACUCAAGUGCUUAGAGCGAUCCAACCUCACACGUGGGUUAGUUGGAUGGGCAUUGAAGCUGCUCUCUGAAUCGCUCACUCCAACUCUAUCUGCGUCGAUUUUGCAAUGCACCAGAACGGCUUAUUCCUCAAAUUGGCUUUGCCUUUGCUUACUCCUUCAUUGUUUGCAGUGAUAGUCUACCACAAUUUACUUUAGAAAAAGUGUGAUUAAUGAUGUUUUCAGUUGAAUUUCUUGCCUUUCGAACUAUCAGUAAGAUGAUGCUAGUCUUCAGUAGUGCCAUCUUAAACUUCUUAGGAUAAAUACCAUCCCUUUUCUCCCUCAGACUAAUCUCAUACUCCCGGUAUUACUAGUACAACUUUCCUUAGGUAGUGUACACAAUGUAUUCAGGGUGCAGUUAACAAGCAUUGUGGUUCUGAUGCAGGGUAUCAAGCUGAAAUUGCAACAGUUAAUUUCCUCUUGCAGGUGCUCCUUAACUCACUCAAUUCCAUUAGUAGAUUGGUGCUCCAGAUUCCAGCAUCUGCAGUCUCAUGUGUCUCCAUGGCCAUACCAAGGUCCAAUACAAUUACAGUAAAAUGUCUUUACUCUUUUACUCAAAUCCUUUGCAAUAAAAUAUUUUUGUUCAAUGAUAUCCAGAUGUCCCACUACUCGAAAAUGCUCUACGUUUCUGUUUUCUGUCCCAAUGUGAAUAACAUCACAUAUUUCCACAUUUUACUCCAUCUUAGAAUUAGUUUAAUUUCACUGACAUACAGUAUUCAUGAUUUUUUUUUGUUUUGGGCAGCAGUACAUUGCAAUACAUAUUAAUUUAAAAAAAUUAAUUGCAUAAAUAGUACAAAAAGAAAACAGAAGAAAAUAUUGAAGUAGUGUAGAAAGGUUAAUUUUCCAUUCAGAAGUCUGGUGGCGGAGGGGAAGAAGCUCCUGUGCUGUUACCUAGUCUGUAUCUCUUUGAAGCAUCUUUGUGUCCUCAUGACUGCUCACAUUUCCAAUAAAUUUCUCACCAUCAAUAAACCCCAAUGACUUGACGGUCCCAAUGGCUCAGGUCCAGUUAGGGGAAUCGGGUUGCUUUGUGAUAAUUUUGCCCUAGUUCUCUGUUUUAUCCAUCCCUAACUCCCUGUACUUCUCUCUCCACUUUUUCACCUAACUUUUGUUCACCCAUCUCAAUGUGACUUAAUAUGAAACAUUGUUCAAUAUGCAUUUAGUAAGUUAAAGGAUUUGAUAAAUAAUAUUUGUUGUUGAUGCUGCUUGUCAUGCUGUAAUAAUGACAUCCUGCCACAGAUGGUGCAAUGGUGCAUCAGUUGUGCUGCUCCCCCCCCCCCCCCCCCUCCCACUGUGCUGUAUGGAUAAGCUUACAAACUUUACCACCAGUUCUUCAUAAUUCUGCUUCCAAACUUGCUGAGUUUUUAAUUACUUAACAAUGACUAUAAAUUAUGGUAUAAUGGAAAGCAGAAUGGUAUAAACAUGAGAUUAGAGGCCUGUAAUAUAUCAACCCAAAAUGGCAGCAUCCUCCUCCUGCUUUCUAGCUCUGACUCCUCAUCUUACCUUCUCCAGUCCUGAUGAAGGGUCUUGGCUUGAAACAUAGACUAUACUCUUUUCCAUAGAUGCUGCCUGGCCUGCUGAGCUCCUCUAGCAUUUUAUGUGUGUUGCUUGGAUUUCCAGCAUCUGCAGAUUUUCUUAUGCCUGUAUUAUAUCAUGUGCUCUGUUUACUCCCGCCAUUUUACCUAUCUACCUGAGUCAAACAUAUCUUGACCUGUAUUGACAAUUAGUUUGCUUGCCUGGUUCAAAUUCAAUCUCUACAGGCCUCAUCCAGCCAUAGUUGUGGCCUAAGAGUAGCAAUUUAGUUCCGUUGACUGGAUCUAUCGUCUUUACAGCAGUGGAGAACGUGGGCAUCACAGAGUAAGGCAGCCCUGAGGAGAUGAGAGACCAUUAACUUCAGUAUUUGAUUUAACAAUUGGUAUCUGGUUUUCCAGUCAGUAAGAGGUCAAUAUCUAUAAGCAGACCAGUGCAGAUGACUUCUCCUUUUUCCCUAAAUUAUCUGCUUAUCCCAUUACAUAUGAAUUAAGACUAUUUAUUUAUUUAGCAAAACAGUGCUGAGUAGGGCCUUCGGCACUGUGAGUCACACUGCCCCAGCGACCCCCCGACAAACCUGAUGAACUCUAACCUAAUCACGAGACAGUUUACAAUGAUCAAUUAACCUACCUGGUAUGCCUUUGGCCUGAGGGAGGAAACCGGAGCAUCUGGGGAAAACCCAAGCAUUCCGUGAUGAGGGUGUACAGACAGUGCUGGAAUUGAACUCCAAUCUCUGGAAUGUCCCAAGCUGCAAUAUCAUUGUACUAAACUCUAUGGCACCCAUUAGAUUACGUUGGAUAGUUUUCUUUGGCAAUUUUUCAGGUGAUUCAUCUUCACAAUUUGACUUGAUACUAAAAUGCAUUCAAUAUAAUUUGAGACAGUCCAGUGUAGUAAUGAUAUUAAUAAUUAUUUUGAUGAACUCAAUUUUUGUGAUUAAUAAGGAGAUUACUGUGUAAGUACAAAAUAAAGAUCCCAAGAUCCUGGAACAGUUUGGUAGCUUGACAAGCUGUAACCAAAACCUCAAAGGCAGGGUUACUGAGGUGUUAACAGUGCAUUUUAUUGAUCAAUAAUUCACUUUACUCCUCCCAUUCUACUUCAUAAUUCUGUCCCAAUACCAGCUAAUGCCACAUCUACUGUAAAACAAAAAAGUCUCAAAUCAUGGUUUGAAGUAAUCUUUAUAUUUUGAAAUAGAAUCUGAUUUAUUGGCACUGAUAUUAGCCAUGACACUUUUUUGUGGCAGCAGUACAGUGCAGGCAUAACAAAUUACUAUAAGUUACAAAAAGCUGCACUGAGGGUACACGGCGGCUGUUGUGUCUGUGGGCGCUGCGACUUUUGCACCGUUCUGCAGUGAACUGAGGCUGAGGUCGUGGUUUCCAGCUGCUCUGGGCUUCAUGUCUGUGGAUUCACUUUCAUUCCAAAUGAUAUUUACUUACUUUUAUUGUUUGCACGAUUUCUUUUCCCCUGUCUGCAUAUUGGAUGUUUGUUGGUCUUUUUUAUGGGUUCUUUUGGGUUUCUUUGUUUUGUAGCUGCCUGUGAGGAGAUGGAUAAAAGUGUAUACACACUUUUAUAAUAAAUGUACUUUGAACUUUUAAAAAAUAAUGCAAAUGAGGAAUAGCUAAGUUCAUGGGUUCAUGCACCUUUCAUAUAUAUGAUGGCAGAAGAGAAGAAGCAGUUCCUGAAACAAUGAGUCAACAGCUUUAAGAUAUUUAACAAAAACAUUUUAAUUUAUGCAGCUGGAGUAUUUUUGUACAAAAAUUUUAAAUAUUAUAUAUUAUUCUAUCAAGACUGUCAAUGAGAAUAUCUAUGCAGUAUGACAGCAUAGUAAAUGAACAUUAAGUUACUGUCUGGAUUUUCAUCUUUAAAAGGUACACAAAAGUUCUGUAUGAAUAAUUCUGUAAAUAUAUGAUACAAAAGAGACAGCAAAAAGGUGAUGUGUAGAAUGUGUAGAGUUUUCUCCAGUUUAAAUAUUCAAGAGCUAUGAGCCAUUAUUCUCAGUAAACGGUCAUAAACUUCUUGCCUGACCAAUAAGUUAAUCGCUUUGUCUGACCCAGUUCUGAUCAUUCACAACCUUGGAACUGAGCCUGAUCUUGAUGAACGCUUCCAACCCCUUAACUGAUUCCUAUCUAAAACUGCCUGUUUCUAUCUGUUACCAAUUACACUUCUCCAUAGCUGGAGCUCAUACAAAACUUUGCAAUCCUCGUUCUCAAUCUACAUCAUCAGAUUCAACAUAGUCGUAGAGUCAUAGAAGACUACAGCACAAAAGCAGGCCCUUCAGCCUUUCUAGUCUGUGCCUGACUAUUAAUCUGACUAGUCCCAUCAACGUUAAACAAUUCACCUUUCACCAAUGACCUCUAGUUAUAGUCUCAUUCAAUCUCAAUGGAAAAAGCCUGCUUGCAUUUCCCUAUCUAUACUCUUCCUAAUUUUGUAUACCUCUAUCAAAUCUCCUCUCAAUUUUCCAUAUUCUAGGGAAUAAAGUCCUAACCUACUUAACCUUUCCAUAUAACUCAGGUCCUCAAGUCCCAGCAACAUCCUUGUAAAUUUUCUCUGCACCGUUUCAAUCUUAUUUACAUCUUUCCCAUAGGUAGGUGACCAAAAUUGGACACAGCACUCCAAAUUAGGCCUCACUAUCGUCUUAACAGUUUCAACAUAAAAUCCCAACUCCUGUACUCAAUACAUUGAUUUACGAAGACCAGUGUGCCUUUACAACCCCAUCUACAUCUGAAUUGAAUUGAAUUGACUUUAUUUCUUACAUCAUUCACACACGAGGAGUAAAAAGCUUUACGUUACAUCUCCAUCUGAAUGUGCUGUGUGCAGUCAUAGUAAUUUAUAAUAAAUAGACCAGUCAAUGUAACAUAGAAAUACACUCAAAUCAGGGUGAGUUAAUCAGUCUGAUGGCCUGGUGGAAGAAGCUGUCCCGGAGCCUGUUGGUCCUGGCUUUUAUGCUGCAGUACUGUUUCCCAGAUGGUGGCAGCUGGAAUAAAUUUUGGUUGGGGUGACUUGGGUCCCCAAUGAUUCUUCAGGCCCUUUAUUCACACCUGUCUUUGUAAAUGUCCUGAAUCAUGGGAAGUUCACAACUACAGAUGUACGGGCUGUCCGCAUCACUCUCUGCAGAAUCCUGCGAUUAAGGGAGGUACAGUUCCCAUACCAGGCAGUGAUGCAGCCAGUUAGGAUGCUCUCAAUUGUGACCCUGUAGAAAGUCCUUAGGAUUUGGGGGCCCAUACCAAACUUCUUCAACCAUCUGAGGUGAAAGAGACGCUGGUGUGCCUUUUUUAUCACACGGCUGGUGUGUACACACCACGUGAGGUCCUCGGUGAUGUGGAUGCCAAGGAACUUAAAGCUGUUUACUAUUUCAACCCCAGAUCUGUUGAUGCCAAAAGGGGUUAGCCCAUCUCCAUUCCUCCUGUAAUCCACAACCAGCUCCUUUGUUUUUGCGACAUUAAGGGAGACGUUGUUUUCUUGAAACCACUGUGUCAGAGAGAUGACUUCUUUCCUGUCAACCACCUCGUUAUUGUUUGAGAUUAGGCCAACCAAGCCAUUUUCAAACUAUGCCAUUUUCAAGGAAUUAUGGAUCUAUAUUUCCAGAUCACUCUGUUCUAGUGCGCUCCCCAGUGUCUUACCACACAUCAUGUUAAACCUACCAUAACUGGUCCUCUCAAAGUGUAAAACCUCGCACUUGUCUGCAUUAAAUUCCACCUGCCAUUUUUACAGCUGGGACAGGUCUUGCUGCAAGCUCUGAGAGUCUUUCUCACUGUCCACUACACUACCAAUCUUGGCUUCAUCUGAUCCAAUUUACCACAUUAUCAUCCAGAUUGUUGAUAUAGAUGACAAACAACGGACCCAGCACUGUUCCCUGCAGCACACCAUUAGUGACACUCUCCACUACCGCUCUCUGGCUAAUGUCUAAUCCAAUUUACUACCCCAUCUUGAAUGGCAAAUGAUUGAACCUUCUUGACCAACCUCCCAUGCGGGACCUUGUCAAAGGCCUUGCUAAAGUCCAUGUAGACAAUAUCCAUUGACUUACCUUCAUCAAGAUUCCUGAUAUUCCUCAAAAAAACUCCAAAAAUGUCAUAUCUUACAAUGCUCAAAGCCAUGUUGACUAUCCUUAAUUAAUCCCUGUCUAUCUAAAUAUUUGUAUAUCUGGACCCUUAAAACCGCUGCAGACAACUUUUCUGCCACUGAUGUCAGGCUCUCUGGCCUAUAAUUUCUUGGUUUAUUUUUAGAGUCUUCCUUUAACAGCAGAACACCAUGAGCUAUUCUCCAUUCCUCUGGCUUUCAAAGGAUGUUUGAAAUAUGUCUGCUAGGGCCCCUGUAAUUUUUACACUUGCCUUCCAUAGGAUCCGGGGUGGGGCAUCUUGCCAGACCCGGGGAUUUAUCCACUCUAUUUUGCCUCAGGACAGCAAAUACCUCCUCCUCUGUUAUCUCUAUAGGGUCCAUGCGCUCGUUGCUGCAUUGCUUCACAUUUAUAGACACUCUCCAUCUUCUGAGUAAAUACGAUGCAAAAAAUCCACUAAAGAUCUCCCCCUCUUUUGGCUCCAAGCAUAGAUUACCACUCUUCUUCUCAAAGAUCAAUUUUGUCCCUGCUGUUCUUUUGCUUUUAAUAUAUCAGCAGAAGGAUGCCCCCUCAUCUUGUCUGCUAGAGCAACCUCAUGUCUUCUUUUAGCCCUCCUGAUUUUUUUUCUUGUGUCCUCUUACAUUUCUUAUAUUCCUUAAGUACUCCAUUUGUUCCUACCUGCUUAUAGCUGCUGUUCACCUCCUUCUUUUGCUUAACCAGGGACUCAAUAUCUUUUGAAAACUGAGGUUUCCUAAACCUGUUUUCCUUGCCUUUUAUUCUGACAGGAACUCUGUACAAAAUUCCACUUAUCAAAUACACCUUAGCCAGAAAACAACCUAUCCCAAUCCACAUUUGCCAGAUCCAUACUGAUACUAUCAAAAUUGACCUUUCUCCAAUUUUGAAUCUCAACCCGAGGACCAGACCUAUCCUUUUCCAUAAUUACCUUGGAACUAAUGGCAUUAUUAUCACUAGGUACGAAGUGUUACCCUACACAAAUUUCUGCCAUUUUCUAAUAGGAGAUCUAAUGUCACACUCUUGUCUAGUUGGGACUUUUGUGUACUUGUUAAGGAAACUUUCCUGAGCACACCUGACAAACUUUCCCAUCAAGCCCCUUUACGGUAUAGGAUACCCAGUAAAUAUGUGGAUGGUUAAAAUCAGUUGCUAUCAUAACCUUAUAUAUUUUGCACCAGUCUUCACACUCUCUCUACAAAUUUGCUCCUCUAAAUGCUGCUAACUGUUGGUUGGUCUAUAAUAAUGUGGUCAUAUUUUUCUUAUUCCUCAGUUCUACUUGUAAAGCCUCACAAGAUGAGCUCUCCAGUCUGUCCUGACUGGUAAAUGAUUGAACAUUUUACCUGACUGGUAAAGCCACCCUUUAAUUCCUCCUGCUCUUUACUUCUAAAACAAUGGAAUCCAAGAACAAUGAGGUGCCAGUCCGGCCCCUUCUGCCACCAAGUUUCACUAAUGGCUACAAUUCCACUUGCUGAUCCAUCCCCUAAGCUCAUCCACCUUUCCUACAAUACUCCUUGCAUUGAAAUAUAAGCAGCUCAGAACAUUAGUCCACUAUGCUCAACCUUUGAUUCCUGACCUUGUAUGUAGGCUUAACAAAAUCUUUCUCUGCAACCACUUCACUAUUUAUUCUGCCCCCUGCAACUGUAGUUUAGUCUAGUAGGUCCAAUACAACCCCUCCUAUUGUUGGACUUCUGACUUGAUUUAAGAAACCCUCCUGGAUGCACCUAACAAAUUCUGCCCUAUCUAAACCUCUUGCACUAAGAAGGUCCCAGUUCAUAUUAAGGAAGUGGAAAUCCCCCAUGACAACAACCCUAUUUUUACAUCUUUCCUUAAUCUGCCUUCAUCUCUGUAUCUCAGUGUUCCUCAAUCUGUCAUGCACUUGGCCCUGACACACCUAGAAAACAAGGACACUUAUGUCAGAAUGCUGUUUCUGGAUUUUAUUUCAGUAUUCAACCCACAGACCUUGGUGAACAAACUGCUACUUCUUAGUCUAAAUAACAAAUUAUUUAGACUAAGUUUGGUCUUCCUAACCACCAAACUUCAGAUAGUCAGGAUGCAUAAUCUCUCCUCCCUCCCCAUCAUCCUCAACAUGGGUGUGCCCCAGGGCUGUGUGCUGAUCCCACUGCUGUACAGUCUGCUCACGUGACUGCAUGGCUAAACACCCAAGUAAUCACAUUGUCAGGUUCACCGAUGACCACGACAGCAGUGGGGCUCAUCACCAACAACAAUGUGACAGCCGACAGAGGGAGAAGAGCUCGAGGCCUGGUGCCAGGCAAAUAACCUCUUCCUCAAUGUCAACAAGAUGAAGAAGAUGGUUAUCGACUUCAGGAGAACUUACACCACUCACACCCUUGUUUACAGCAGUGGAAACUGAAAGCAGUUUCAAACUCCUGGGAGCACACAUCAUGCACAAUCUCUCAUGGUAGCGGAACACAUUCUACACAGUCAAGAAAGCUCUGAGGACGCUGAACAGAGCUGGACUAUGCACAUCUAUACUCACGUCCUUCAAAUGGCCAGCAUCCUAACAUGCUUCAUCACUGCAAGGUACUAUUGCAGUAAGGGUUCACCCUCCCCGUGCAAGCUGAGGAUUUGCCCAUUUAAGGAGCAUUGCAGCCCUUCCAUUGGCUGCCGUUUGGCACUCAUGCCAGCUGAUGGCUUCAUGGCACAGGUAGAGUAUAAAACUAGCAUGCUGAAAGCACUUGUUGUGCUUUGCUCUCUGGGUCAUCAUGAGCCAGCUCAUGGAUAGUGCCAUGGAAAUUAGAAGUGUGCUGCAGUAGAGAGGGCCCAAAAAUACACUUUAGGUAAGUAUUUGUAACUGAGUGUAUCUUGAAUGUUUUGCAUUUGUCAGUCCUGUAAAUAAAUGGGUAACAUAUUUAGUAUCUUUUGUCCCCACUCACUGAACCCUCAAACCUGAUUUCACACGAUUGUCACUGCGAGCAGGGUUCAGAGCUUGAACAGAUUAACCCACCCACCCACCUAUGAUUGAGGAGUGCAGAGUAUCAGGAUAGACCGACAACAGUGUGGGACAUUUGGGAGUCUCGCCAACCUACUGGUGGACCAUGGGAUGCUAGUAGACUGGUCAGACAAGUUGGACUCCCGUGGGGUGAAAAUGGGACACAACUUUGUGUCCAUACAUAAUGAAAUAGGGUUCCCCGAGAGCAAGGGGAGCCAGAAGGCUGCUGCCCACCUUAGUAAAGCAGCAGUGCGAGACAAACUUACAGAAAGAGAAAGAGGUAAAUACUUUGAGAAAUGAAAUGGAAAUGCUAAACUAACUGUAUGUCAUGGUAGCGUAGCUGUCAAUGUGACCCUAUUACUAUUUGGGGCUUUGGAGUUCGGAGUUCAUUUUGAGGGUCCUCUGUAAGCAAGUUUGUAUGUUCCUUCCAAUCUGCAUGCAGGUUUCCUCUCACAGUUCAAAGAUGUACUGGUUAACUGGUCAUUGUAAAUUGUCCUGUGGUUCGGCUAGGGUUAAAUUGGGGUUGCUGGGCAGCGCGGCCUGAAGAUCUGGAAGGGCCUUUCCCGUGAUGUAUCUCUAAAUAAAAUCAAAUAAAUGUGCUACCGGGGAGUCUGCCUAGUCAGCACAGACUAGCGGGAAAGUACAGGGAUAGCCGCCGACUAGUAAUAGUGUAGGAAUGAAAGGCUGCCCACGGGGCUAACUGGUGACGAGACCUCGUUAAGGUCCGAGCCCUGAUGCUGCAAGGAGGUGACUCCAACAUGUGGAUGGGAGAUGAGGACAUUUAGUUAGAUAGUGAGGAUGAGGAAGAGAGGUUCGAAGAGAGCCUUUUGGUACUCCCCUCUCCAAGAGUGAGCACCCUUCCCCUGUGCACCCAUGACAAUUAAGGCCAGACCAGUAGCUACGUUGUCUCAGGCCCUGCAAAAGGGACACUGGCCCACUGCCCCUCCAGCCUCCAUGGAACAGGGUGAUGAAGAGGAGCAAGCUGGUGCAGAGGAACAGCAUGAGGGAGAGGGACCUGGGGAGGACAACACCGUGUUUCACCAAGAUGACUAACAACAGGGAGUUCUCCAUUGAGGAAAGAGGAUGUGAUUAAAUUUCUGAAAUGUUUUAUUACCAGCUCUGCACAGACUUUUAGAUAGCCAAUUAGUGAUGGUAGUACAUAUAUAGGGUCAAUGAUAGGUUAGUAAUUGGGGAGGGGAUCUGAAGUGAAGGGCAUUUUUGCUGCCCUACCUAAUUAGAUCCUCCAUAAAGUUUGGUCUUCCAGGGAUAGGUUUCUGUCCAGAGGCCAAGAGGAGGAGGAGGGUAUAUUAGGAAGUAUUCUGGAGUUGUGUGAAUAUAGCAGAUAUUAAUUCAAACAAGAACCAAUCUUCAGUUUUAUUGUAGAAUGUAAAUUGAAAACAGUAAAUUGAAGUUAUAUCACACACAAAAUGCUGGAGGAACUCAGCAGGCCAGCCAGCAUCCAUGGAAAGGAGUACAGUUGAGGUUUUGGGCUGAGACCCUUCAGCAGGACUGCACUCCUUUCUGUAAAUGCUGCCUGGCCUGCUGAGUUCCUCCAGCAAUUUGUGUGUGUUACUUGGAUUUCCAGCAUCUGCAGAUUUUCUCUUGUUUUGAAAUUGAAUUUAAAAGCAUACUUUUGUAAGAUAGUGGCCAUAAGAGGUUUGCAUAUGAAUCAGUCAAAUGCCAAAACAAUGUAGCUCAAGAAGGUUGGUGGACUACUGCAGUACGCUGGCCAGCAAAUGAUAAUUCUGGGUGUCAUAGUGUUAUGUUUUGUGGAUAGCAUGGUGGAAUAUCCACUGAGAUUAUACUCGUAAUUAGCUCUUCAGGCCUGUGGAGGGAGCCAGAGAGUUUUGGGUGCUGAGGUUUCUAGAAUAGAGCACCUGUAUUUCUUAAUUGUAUUAAUGAGUCAUUAAGCUCUGGUGCUUUCUGUUUAAUCUUGUUAAAACUUAAUUUGACUAGCUCAGGUUUUCUGUGUUCUGUGAUUAUUUAAGCAGAUUCCCGAUUAGCACUUAUCACUG